GUCAGAGUCUUGAUGUGGGGAAGGAGUUUAGCUGACUGCCCAACCAUAGCAGAGGCAGUACAAGUAACGAGCUGAAUUGCUCUAAAAGCUUGACAAUCAGCUCUACUGGGAGAUUGCCACAAAAGCAGCGUGUGUGUGUGUUUUGUUCAGCUCCGCUGGUCUCCCCGUUGUUCUGCCUGACAGCUUCCACAAGUUUUGAGACAGGUGAGUUUCCUUCAGCGGGAUGACAGUGGGACAGGCCGGCGCACUGUGAAGGGAUCACUGUGAUGGAGGACAGGUGAGGUAAGCAGGCAGGUGGGAAUCAUCCAAUAAGUAAGAGGCCUGAGCGAUACUUCCACACUGAGUCACUGUCUGGAUUGAUUGAAAAGAAAGAAAUUGGUGUUCUUUAGGUUUGUGAGGACAUUUCACCUCAUCCAAAGGAACUCUUUAGAUACAAAGAACUGAUUUAGAGUCCCAGGUAUUUAACUCUUAGUGAGGGCUGUCUCUUUGAAGGUGGUCAUGGUUGUUGGCCCUCUGCUGAUCAUUAAAUCUGCGCCACUGUGGAAAUGAACGCUGGCGUUAGGAGCUUCUUUAGUCUGCUGCUAAUCACACACUUUAGCAGAGCCCAGAAAAUCAGUGAUGACUCCAUCAACACCCCCCACCCUCCUGUGCUGUUCAGCAUCAGCCCCCAAUCCUACAUCAGCUUCCUGCUGCUGGGCCUGACCGUCGUCGUGUUCGGCGGCGUCUAUCUCUGGAUCCUCAGAUACGUCUGCAUCGGCUGCUGCCAGCCCAUCACAGUGGGCGUUGAAUCAGAAGCCCUGGCAGGGAUGGUGUGAAGUCAUCGGCCCCUGUCUGAUUGAGUUGGGCUGUUACCAAGUCACACAGGACAUGUACCUCGGUUUUACAGGUAAAAGACUUGGCCUAUCCGACUUGUCAUCAAUUUUGCAAAAGAAAGUAGGUGUCAGGGAAGAUAACUAAGUGUGUAGUCAUUUGUGCUCCCAUAUAAGUUUUUUUUUUCAAGUGCGGUUCCAGAGCGCUCAGUGACAGUGUCAAUGCUGGAAAAUAAGAAAGUAGGAGAAAAGUAGUUCUUUUGCUCUUACUUCUACACCCUGCUUACCUGAUAUCUGGCAAACAUCUGUUGGACACUGCCUGAAAAAUCGCUAAAAAGCUACUGAGCAGUGAACGUGAGACACAAUUGUAAAGCUGGGUGGCAGAAAUUUAAGAAAAAGUUCAGCUAAUAAGCUGAUAAAAUGCUUUGUAUCUUUGCUUUAGGGUUUUCUUUGUAGUUUAUUGACUGUUUUAUUUCGAAACCCUUUUUUCAUGGUUUCUUUUCUUACUUCCUGCCUUUCUCCUUCACAAGUGGGUUUUGUGUGUAACAAUUAGCCAUUUAGUGUAUUUAUAAUGGCGUCCCCCUUUUCUGCUGUCAAGUUAGUUUGUGUCUAGUUUUAUUUGUUUUGUUCCUGGGUAUCUGUCUCAGCUUCAGCAUUAUGUUAAAAACAAUCCAUAAAAACAUACUACAGUGUCUUCUUUUAAAACAAAGACAUUUUCUAUUAUUUUUUCUCCAUAUAUUCCACUCAACUGGUUAUUUUUGAGCAUUUACACACUUUAUGGGGAAAAAAAUUACCAGUUGAAGUUUUUGUGAAAGUACAGCCUGUUGAUUUCUCUGCUCGUGGCAUUUCUGCUCAGCUGAAUGACACAAAUAAAUCUCCUUUUCUUCUUCAAUCUUGCCUUGUGUUAUGGGGCCUGUGUAGGGUGACCAGAUCACAGUCUAAAAGUAAAUAUAACAAAAAUAAAGAGAAGCUGAAGUUUGUUCUUAUUGUCUAUAUUAUCUGUUAAUUCUUCCUCCUCCUGGAGGAGGAGGAGUAUUUAAUCUGUUCUGUUUGUUAACAGUCUAGCAUGCAAUCGGAUCUAGGUCACAAUAAAUGUGAAAAUCUGAAAAAACUUUAUAUUACUCAAAUUUUUUAAUGGAUGGAUCUUCUAACUUCACAACAAUAUGCUAGACCUUGGUGGACAUUAAUACCUUGGCUGGCUAAACAUUUGACUUUGACCUUCAUUUUUAGUGCCCAAAUUUGAAGAAACCAUAUCAAGUAAUCUGUCAUAUUAAAAGUACAGAAAACUUUCUUCUUUUAUUC
ensembl:lncRNA